UACGUAGGUGGCAAGCGUUUAUCCGGAAUACUGGGCGUAAAGCGCACGCAGGCGGUCUUUUAAGUUUGACGUGAAAGCUCCCGGCUUAACUGGGAGAGGUCGUUGAAGACUGGGAGACUUGAGGCAAUGAGAGGGGUGUAGAAUUCCUGGUGUAGUGGUGGAAUGCGUAGAUAUCAGGAGGAAUACCAGUGGCGAAAGCGGCACCCUAGCGUUGUUCUGACGCUCAUGUGCGAAAGCGUGGGGAGCGAACAGG
rnacentral:rRNA from 1 species